UUUCUUUCACUUUCUCUCUUUUUUUUUCCCUCUUUUUGUGGUAACCCUUUUACCUUCUUUUCCCCUGCUUAGACCCAUUAGCAGGAUGUUGUGCAAUAUGGUGCUUGUCAUCUGUUUCAAAGACACAGUGAUGAGAUACAGCUCCAUUCUGUUAUGUGUUUCCUGCACUGCCUACAGUGAUUGCACUUAGCGUGGAUGCUAUGGGGGAGGGAAUAUGGAAGGCAAGAAGGUAAAGGAAGGACUUCUGUGGAAUCUGCAUGAGCUGAAACACGACAAAGGCUGAAGUGAUAAAAUAAGUGACAGGAGGAAUAGAAGAGAGGAGCAAGUUAAAGUCCAGGUCCUGAGUGAUAAGAGACACCCUCAGCAUGGAGCUCUGAUGCUUAGAUCACAGGAGGAAAGUAGGAUGCCGGUACCACAGAAGUAGUGUGCUCCAAACUUCAGGCUGUACCUACUGGCUGGGGAUGAAAUCUGCCUCCAGGCCUACGCUCCCCAAGCACCCUCAAAAUCAACACUUUGCCCUGCUCAUCCCCAGAUACACAGAAAGCCUGGGCAAGGGAAAUCCUCCCGGAUGAAACAUGGGAAGCUCCUGCUGUUGAACCUGUAAGACCUUACAGCUCCUCGUGUGUCUGCUUGCUAUGGCUGCGUAGGAGCUGCUCACCUGAUUGCUAAGGAUGAAAUCAGGAAGGAAUUCUUUCCCUCCAUCUGAUGACAAAGGCUGCUUCUUUCACCUUCUGUGAUUUAAGGCUUGGUCUCCCUCCUGGAUGUGUUCACAACCACACUCCCUGCUGUUGUUGGGACCUGAUACGUCAACACGGCUCUUGACCUCUCCUCAUUGAAAUGUAUCUCAAAAGUCAACGUCCUUUUGUAGGCAAACCUUCCCCGCCUGGCAAAUAGGGAAUUUUGCCCUCCUUAACGAGAGCUACGCUAUCUGAUGGCUGCCUGAUGAAGUAGGAGCUCAAGGAGGCCACCUCUACACUGAACAAUCCCAUACAUCAGAGGCCACCCCUUUGAAUUCAACAGUUUUUCUGGUGCUAAGAGAGAAUAUUGAAAACCUGGCCUUAAAUCACACUUUUCAAGUAAUACGCAGCAAUGAAUGGAAGAGAAAAGGAAGCCAGGAUGCUUAUAGGAUUUAAGGAGCUUCUUUUGAAAGAAGAAUCCACCCUGCUGCUGAUGGCCAGAUGCUCAUCUAUGCCUGGAGAUGUGCAAAUAAACAUAAGGUGUAAAGCUGUUAGCGGUGGUUCAUGGCAACAGACUAACUCCUGUCAAGGAAAAGCAGGUUAGGUAAACUUUUCAGGUGUUUGGAGGUGAAUCUUUUCAUUUGUGCACAGCCCUUGGUUGACCCAACUAUUUCACAUCAUUACCAAUUGCUUUGUUCGUAUGUAUCAAACUUCUUUCUUGUGCUUUAUUGGUUUUUGCUCUCACUGACCUCUUCCAGCAGUUUACUUUCUAACAUCCUGAAAGCUUCAUCAUGACUGCUCAGUGCACCUCACCCAGGGCUGAGAUUAAAAGUUAAAAAAAGAGAAAGAGUGAACACAACGGGAGAGAAAACAGAAGAGAUUUUGGCAGCAACCUGGUGACACUCUGAAGUAAGUGAAAUGGGAUGGGUAACCACCUGGAAUAAUGGCAGGGGGAAAAAGAGAGAGAAGAAGCUCAGUGAAUUGGCUCAAACAGCAGGGCCUGGGCAAGAGGAUUAGGGGAAAUAGCAGUGUGAGCAGACCUCAGGAAUGGAGAAAGCAGAAAGCAUAUCAUCUCAGCUCUCUGUUCCAAAGAGAGGUGCCAAGACCAGUUAAAAAAAUGGAAUAUGGGCUUGUCUGAAUCACAACACAGAGCCCCAGUUCCUCGUAUCCAAUGGCUGCUUCUUUCCCAAACUAAAACUUCUAAGGUGCAAGAGAAGUCACAGAGUUAUCCAAAGUGAGAGGAGGAAGGAGAGAAAGUGGAAAUUAAACGGGAGAGCAAAUCUGCUUUCCACAUCUUACCGCAGCUGCAGGACACUUUGCUGUAGCACGGCCAGCAGAACAUCAAUAAUAUCCAUCCCCAGGGGUGCCUCAGAGUGACAUUUGUGGCCUCCCUCUGCACACUGGGGUGUGGGGGACAGAAGGAGGUGAGAGUAUGUCAGCCUGGCCAAAGCUCACUCAGGCUGAACCCAGGACCUUCUGCCAUUUCUAUUCCGGGAACUCACCGCGGGGUUAUGUUUGGGUUGCCUAAACAGAACGUUGCUGCCAUUGAUGGAGGAUAAACAUUUUAUUCAGUAGCAGCGGGGGGAGAUUUGGGAGUCUGACUCUGCUCUGAAUGCGGGUGACAAUUGAAACAUUCAGUACGCUUGCCAGGAAAUAUCUCAAGAUUCAUUUAGUGUCAAUAAUAGAAAAAAAUAUAUAUAUAUUUUGA